AAUCAACGCUGGCGGCGUGCCUAACACAUGCAAGUCGAACGCGGUUACCCCGCAAGGGGUAACUGAGUGGCGAACGGGUGAGUAACGCGUGGGUGACCUACCUUCGAGUGGGGGAUAACGUCCCGAAAGGGACGCUAAUACCGCAUAACAUCCUGCCUUUGAACAGGCGGUGAUCAAAGCCGGGGAUCGCAAGACCUGGCGCUUGAUGAGGGGCCCGCGUCUGAUUAGCUAGUUGGUGAGGUAAUGGCCCACCAAGGCAACGAUCAGUAUCCGGCCUGAGAGGGCGGACGGACACACUGGGACUGAGACACGGCCCAGACUCCUACGGGAGCAGCAGUGGGGAAUUGUUCGCAAUGGGCGCAAGCCUGACGACGCAACGCCGCGUGGAGGAUGAAGGUCUUCGGAUUGUAAACUCCUGUUGCUCGGGACGAAUGGCUCCGGCCUAAUACGUCGGAGUGUGACGGUACCGGGUGAGG
rnacentral:rRNA from 1 species